CAGGCUUAACACAUGCAAGUCGAGGGGCAUCAGGAAGAAAGCUUGCUUUCUUUGCUGGCGACCGGCGCACGGGUGAGUAACACGUAUCCAACCUGCCCUUUACUCGGGGAUAGCCUUUCGAAAGAAAGAUUAAUACCCGAUAGCAUAAUGAUUCCGCAUGGUUUCAUUAUUAAAGGAUUCCGGUAAAGGAUGGGGAUGCGUUCCAUUAGGUUGUUGGUGAGGUAACGGCCCACCAAGCCUUCGAUGGAUAGGGGUUCUGAGAGGAAGGUCCCCCACAUUGGAACUGAGACACGGUCCAAACUCCUACGGGAGGCAGCAGUGAGGAAUAUUGGUCAAUGGGCGCUAGCCUGAACCAGCCAAGCAGCGUGAAGGAUGAAGGCUCUAUGGGUCGUAAACUUCUUUUAUAUAAGAAUAAAGUGCAGUAUGUAUACUGUUUUGUAUGUAUUAUAUGAAUAAGGAUCGGCUAACUCCGUGCCAGCAGCCGCGGUAAUACGGAGGAUCCGAGCGUUAUCCGGAUUUAUUGGGUUUAAAGGGAGCGUAGGUGGACUGGUAAGUCAGUUGUGAAAGUUUGCGGCUCAACCGUAAAAUUGCAGUUGAUACUGUCAGUCUUGAGUACAGUAGAGGUGGGCGGAAUUCGUGGUGUAGCGGUGAAAUGCUUAGAUAUCACGAAGAACUCCGAUUGCGAAGGCAGCUCACUGGACUGCAACUGACACUGAUGCUCGAAAGUGUGGGUAUCAAACAGGAUUAGAUACCCUGGUAGUCCACACAGUAAACGAUGAAUACUCGCUGUUUGCGAUAUACAGUAAGCGGCCAAGCGAAAGCAUUAAGUAUUCCACCUGGGGAGUACGCCGGCAACGGUGAAACUCAAAGGAAUUGACGGGGGCCCGCACAAGCGGAGGAACAUGUGGUUUAAUUCGAUGAUACGCGAGGAACCUUACCCGGGCUUAAAUUGCAGUGGAAUGAUGUGUAAACAUGUCAGUGAGCAAUCACCGCUGUGAAGUUGCUGCAUGGUUGUCGUCAGCUCGUGCCGUGAGGUGUCGGCUUAAGUGCCAUAACGAGCGCAACCCUUAUCUUUAGUUACUAACAGGUUAUGCUGAGGACUCUAGAGAGACUGCCGUCGUAAGAUGUGAGGAAGGUGGGGAUGACGUCAAAUCAGCACGGCCCUUACGUCCGGGGCUACACACGUGUUACAAUGGGGGGUACAGAAGGCAGCUAGCGGGUGACCGUAUGCUAAUCCCAAAAUCCUCUCUCAGUUCGGAUCGAAGUCUGCAACCCGACUUCGUGAAGCUGGAUUCGCUAGUAAUCGCGCAUCAGCCACGGCGCGGUGAAUACGUUCCCGGGCCUUGUACACACCGCCCGUCAAGCCAUGGGAGCCGGGGGUACCUGAAGUACGUAACCGCAAGGAUCGUCCUAGGGUAAAACUGGUGACUGGG
rnacentral:rRNA from 1 species